rnacentral:tRNA from 1 species
AAGAUAUAAAGCCAUAAAAGAAGGCCGCUAACUUUCUUUCUAGCAGUUAAAUUCUGUUAAUAUCUUU